UACGGGGGGGGCAAGCGUUGUUCGGAAUUACUGGGCGUAAAGGGCUCGUAGGCGGCCAACUAAGUCGGAUGUGAAAUCCCCAGGCUCAACUUGGGAACUGCAUCCGAUACUGGAUGGCUUGAAUCCGGGAGAGGGAUGCAGAAUUCCAGGUGUAGCGGUGAAAUGCGUAGAUAUCAGGAGGAACACCAGUGGCGAAGGCGACACGCUGGGCCGUACCUGACGCUAAAGCGCGACAGCAUGGGGAGCAAACGGG
rnacentral:rRNA from 1 species